rnacentral:lncRNA from 1 species
UCGAAAGGACUUCUUGUUCGGACGGAAACUGGAACUUCGUUGGCAGCUCAGCACCCAACCCACCAAGCAGUAACAUCACCUGCGACUGUACUUUUAAUGCCAGCUCAGUCUGUCGUGUCACAAGCAUGUUAGUAAACGAAACUUCUCAUCUCUGUAACUUUCCGAACAAGAAACAGAGUUAGGGUUCUGAAAAACAACUUUCUUUACUUCUUGAUUUUCAUCAACAGACAGCUUAAAAGUUUCAGCUUGCCCGGCAUUUUCCCGCCUGAGUUCGGAAACCUCACGCGUCUUCGAGAGAUGUAUGCACUUUCGUUCUUGACUGUCUGACAAUGGAUCAUAGCAAAAAUGUCUGAGACUUGGAACUUAAGCAAUCUUUGUUUUGUUUUUCCUUACAGAGAUCUUUCGCGGAACUUCCUCAAUGGCACAAUACCUGCGACAUUGUCUCAAAUUCCGCUUGAAAUCUUGUAGUCAUUCUCUGCAAUACGUAUAUUCUUCUUUUUCUUGUGAUGAUAACAAAGUUGUACUAAAUCUUCCUUUUUUGUUUCUGCAACUAACAGGUCUGUAACCGGAAACCGUCUCUCUGGACCAUUUCCUCCUCAGCUUGGAGAGAUUACUACGCUUACUGAUGUGUAAUGUCACAUAUCUAAUCUUCUUUUCUUCAAACCAGAAUUGACGAGAUUCUAAUAUGUAAGUAACAAAUUGCAGGAAUUUGGAAACUAAUUUAUUCACAGGACAACUUCCUUCAAACCUAGGGAACUUGAGAAGCAUGAAAAGAUUGUAAGGUCCUUUAUUACAUACUCUGUUUUGUCUUAUAUAUUGUUAUUGCAGCUUUACUCAGUGAUUUGGUCUUACAGGCUUCUUUCUGCAAACAACUUUACGGGUCAAAUCCCUGAGUCCUUAAGCAAUCUCAAGAACUUGACUGAUUUGUAAGUAGAGAUACAGUGAGAUUUCAACAAUGUUGUUCCUUGGAAUGUUCAUAAAAGCUUCAUAUGUUUCUUGCAGUCGGAUUGAUGGAAACUCUCUAUCUGGGAAGAUACCUGAUUUUUUCGGAAACUGGACUCGGCUCGAUAGGCUGUGAGUAACCAUCAUUUCUCAGAUCACCUUUUCUCAAAAACACUGAGAGUUGUAGUGACCAAAUUGUUAAUCUGCAGAGACCUUCAAGGCACAUCAAUGGAAGGUCCAAUUCCAGCUUCAAUAUCAAACUUGAAGAACUUGACUGAAUUGUAAGUAAGAAAACAGUUUAACAAUACUAUUUUUGCAUGCUCGUCCAAAUUCUUGACCUUAAAAGUGCUCUGUUUUAUCAGGAGGAUAACAGAUUUGCGUGGACAGGCGGCCUCUUCUUUUCCGGACCUGCGAAAUAUAAUGAAUAUGGAACGAUUGUAAGUUUACCAGUGACUCGAGUUAUACACUAUAUAUGUUUCAUCAAACAAUAUUUAACAAUCUGCUAACUUCACUAGGGUACUAAGAAAUUGUUUGAUAAGAGGACCUAUCCCGGAAUACAUUGGUUCCAUGAGUAAGCUAAAGACACUGUAAGUCAAAAUCUCUUGCUAAUUCUACUGCUUAAAGGCUAAUGAUUUGAUCAAGAUCUCACAUUAAAGUAUGUGUGUGUUCAGAGAUUUAAGCUCAAACAUGCUAACCGGUGUAAUUCCAGACACAUUUCGGAAUCUCGAUGCAUUUAACUUUAUGUAAGUUUCAAAUUAUCAGUAUAGAUGAUAUUAACCCGUUACUCGAAAAACUGAUUGUUAUUUUGCGGCUUUAGGUUUCUGAAUAAUAACUCAUUGACUGGUACAGUUCCUCAGUUCAUCAUCAACAGUAAAGAAAAUCUGUAAGCAAACUAACUAACUACCUCGAGGUUGAAUAUUCGGUAUAACAUUAUCAGGGCAUUAAUUUUCUUGAUCUGUUUUCAGUGAUUUAUCUGACAACAAUUUCACUCAGCCACCUACUCUAAGCUGUAAUCAGCUUGAUGUGUAAGCAUCCUUGUUAUGUUAUAUCAGUGAUGUUUCAACUUAACCUUGUCUAUAUGCUUUUCUUAUCAUCUUUAUUGGUUAAAACUUUCAGAAACUUGAUCUCCAGCUACCCGUCAGUAACCGAUAACUCGUGAGUCUCCUUUUGUUUUCCCUCCUUUCGGUUCAUAAAACCCGCAAGACCAGGAUACUUACAAUGGAAAAAAUCUCUACUUGUGUAGUGUUCAAUGGUGCUUGAGAGAGGAUCUUCCAUGUCCAGAAGAUGCUAAACGUGAGUGUCCAUCUUAAAUAUUCAAACUGUUCUAGAAAGAAAGCCUAACCAUUUACAUUUUUGAUCCUCGGGUUCUCGCAGAGUCUUCCCUGUUCAUCAAUUGUGGAGGAAGCAGACUCAAGAUUCAAAAAGACACUUAUACAGAUGACUUGAAUAGUAGAGGACAAUCAACAUUUUCUUCUGUCUCUGAAAGAUGGGGAUACAGCAGUUCUGGAGUUUGGCUAGGCAAUGAGAAUGCCGGCUACUUAGCAACAGACGACAGAUUUAACUUGAUCAAUGAAUCAACUCCAGAGUAUUACAAAACAGCCCGUCUCUCUCCACAGUCACUCAAGUACUAUGGACUAUGCAUGAGAAGAGGAAGUUACAAAGUGCAGCUCCAUUUUGCAGAGAUAAUGUUCUCAAAUGACCAGACUUUUAAUAGCUUAGGGCGGCGACUAUUCGACAUUUAUGUCCAAGUGAGUUUUGCAGAACAAAGAAACAAAAUUUCAGACUUCUUGGAUAAGUAUGUUAAAUUUCAAUAUCUUCUGCAGGGGAAUUUGUUGGAGAGGGACUUUAACAUAGCAGAGAGAGCAGGUGGAGUUGGUAAACCAUUCAUACGGAAAAUUGAUGAAGUUCAAGUGAAUGGAAGUACUCUGGAGAUUCAUUUGAAAUGGACAGGAAAAGGAACAAACAUAAUACCAACACGAGGUGUUUACGGGCCUCUCAUAUCCGCUAUAACAAUCACACCGAGUGAGUUUUCUUUUCAAUCUUUCUCCAACUGUUUAAAAUAAUUUUGGAGUGAGUAAAUGAAUGAAUGUUCUUUCUCUGUUUCAUUGCCUGUUGUUGUAGAUUUCAAGGUUGAUACCGGAAAACCAUUGUCCAAUGGAGCAGUUGCAGGCAUUGUAAUCGCAGCUUGUGCGGCUUUCGGGUUGCUGGUACUUGUAAUCCUCAGGCUUACAGGUUACUUAGGUGGAAAAGAAGUGGAUGAAAAUGGUAAGAUAGAAAACAUCAUCUUUUCAAGAAAUGCUCUUGUCAUUUUCAAGAUCUGAUUGUUUCUUUCAAAUCUUACUUUUUGGUUUUAUCAGAAGAGCUUCGGGGACUUGAUUUGCAGACAGGAUCGUUCACAUUGAAACAAAUCAAACGUGCUACUAAUAACUUUGAUCCAGAAAACAAGAUUGGUGAAGGAGGAUUUGGACCGGUUUAUAAGGUGAUGAUUGCUUUGCUUUUACAUCUUCACAAGUUCUGUGAGAUUGGAUUAUAGUAUUGAUGGGUUUUGGUUAUUAGGGUAUUCUCGCUGAUGGAAUGACCAUCGCGGUGAAACAGCUUUCAUCGAAAUCUAAGCAAGGAAACAGAGAAUUUGUGACUGAGAUCGGGAUGAUCUCUGCGUUGCAACACCCUAAUCUUGUGAAGCUUUAUGGUUGUUGCAUCGAAGGGAAAGAGCUUUUGCUUGUGUAUGAGUACUUAGAGAACAACAGUCUCGCUCGCGCACUCUUUGGUUAGUUUUUUAUUCAUCAGAGAAAGAUAGAGAGAAGUUCUUGAUCUCGAAGCUAAAGUCUCUUGUUGGUUAUUUAACAGGCACAGAGAAACAGAGACUGCACUUGGAUUGGUCAACAAGGAACAAGAUAUGCUUAGGGAUUGCGAAAGGAUUGGCUUAUCUACACGAGGAAUCAAGGCUGAAGAUUGUUCAUAGAGACAUAAAAGCGACGAAUGUGCUUCUUGAUCUGUCUCUAAACGCUAAGAUCUCGGAUUUUGGUCUAGCUAAACUCAAUGAUGACGAGAAUACACAUAUCAGCACAAGGAUUGCAGGAACAAUGUGAGUGUUCCUUAUCUUUUCUAAAAUUCUUAGAGAGCGGUUAACAUGUACCGACUUAAUAAAUCAUUGAUGCAGAGGUUACAUGGCUCCUGAGUAUGCAAUGAGAGGUUACCUAACAGACAAAGCAGAUGUUUACAGCUUCGGUGUUGUCUGUUUAGAGAUUGUUAGCGGAAAGAGCAACACAAACUACAGACCAAAAGAAGAGUUUGUUUACCUUCUUGAUUGGGCAUAUGUCUUGCAAGAACAAGGGAGUCUUCUAGAACUCGUUGAUCCGGAUCUCGGUACAAGCUUUUCGAAGAAAGAAGCUAUGAGGAUGUUGAACAUAGCUUUACUCUGCACGAACCCAUCUCCGACAUUGAGACCACCAAUGUCAUCUGUUGUAAGUAUGCUAGAAGGAAAAAUCAAAGUCCAACCACCACUGGUGAAACGUGAAGCUGAUCCAAGUGGUUCAGCUGCAAUGAGGUUUAAGGCCUUUGAGCUUUUGUCACAAGACAGCGAGUCACAAGUCUCGACAUUUGCAAGAAACAGAGAGCAACACAUAAGCUCAUCAUCAAUGGACGGUCCUUGGGUUGAUUCUUCCUUUUCUGAGCCUAGCAAAGAUGUUAGCCUACAACAGCAAGAAGAAGGACGUUCAUCUUCUUCGUCGAGGAAUCUUUUAGAUGAUCUUACCGAUGUGAAGAUUGAGUAAUGAAUUGUAUAUCUUUCAGAUUCUUUUAUUCAAUCUACUUAAACAACAAUAUAUACCAACAUACCAAUCAAAUUUCCCUUCUUCUUUUUUUUCUUGGUUUAUACAAUUUACUUGUUAGCAAUAAGAGAAUUCUUUUUAGGUUUUGUUGUUACCGCUGUGAAAUUUCUAUGUUGGGCAAAAGUUUUGGUUUCCAAAAAUACCACAAACACUAAAAUUAAUUUUUAAGAGUUGAGAAUUUUUAAAUUUUAGGUUUGGCUUGACUAUUUUAGUUAGAUACUUAUAUGUAGAUUAUAAUUUUUAGCAAUGUUUAAGAAAGGGUUAGGUGGUAAGCGAGCGGUGACCCAGCACCUAGUGUUUAGAAUGCAAUCCGGCUUAGGCGAUUUUAGGCGGUUUAAGCGUUUAUAACAUAACAUAUUAUAAAUAUGAUAUUAUAGAUAAAAUAAAACUAUCUAUUAGAAAAAUAAUAAUCUUAAAUCGUAAACAAAAAUUAGACAAAAACAUUUAUUUAAUUUAUAUCAAACAAUAUAUAUGAAGCUAAAACUUAUAAUUUAAAUUUAUGUAGUUGGAAAUUGAAAAAAUAUACUAAAACAAAAUUUAUGCGAUUUUGAACGAUCGAAUCGAUCGUUUAGGCGUUACCUGAGCGCGUAGACCGCUUUUUAAAACACUAGCUUUUAAAGAAUAAGAUUUAAUGUUUAAAAUUUAGUUUUAAAUAUUGAAAAUAAAUUUUUGUUUGGUGUUAUAUAAAAAAGAAAAAAACUUAAAUAAUAUUUUUAGAAAACCAAAACUUAAAUAUGAUAUUUUUAAAAUUGUCCUUUUUUUUUAACGGGAAAUAACCUGUCUAAAAACCCAUCCUACCAUUAUGUUUUCUAAACUUUGACGUAUUUGCAGAAAACUUUGCCUCAUAGUGGUCAACCAUGGAACAUAAAAAUCGUCAAAUUAACAUCACUUACUUUUAUGAUUUAAAAAGAUUAGGAAGCAGUCGAUAAACACAAAUUAUUCAUGUCCGGCGGCUAGAUAUUAAAAAAAGCAUAUUUAUGAGAAAUUGUUAUUAUUUUACAUAUAUAUAUAUUAAUAUAUAUAUGAACACUAAAAGCUUGUUCCCAUCAGUUUCUUUCUUCUUUCCUCUUACUACCUCAGUCUCUUCCUCUCUUAAUCUUAUUCUCUUCUCAAUCGUUUGGUCUCUUUGAGAAUUGAGAGUCUGUUUGGUUUUUCCGACAAAAAAAAUGGGUUUCUUUUUCUUGACCCAGAAAGUUCUUCUUCUCAUCUUCAUUGGCUUGGAUAUUUUCGGAUCAAAUGCUCAAUUUUUGCCAGAAGAUGAAGGUUCGUAUCACCUUUUUUUUUAAUUUACAUUGCAAUGAAAUUUCUUCAAUUUUACUUAAAUUUCUAACAACACUAAUUCUAUGCUUCCUUCUUGAUUAAAAAAAACUUCACUGAAAGAAAGUUAUCCUUUUUCAACUAUUUUGUUAUUAAAAAAAAAAAAUUGUAUUUUUGCUGCGGAUAUUGGUCGUCAAUAAAAUUAUUGAAUGGUCGUCAUGAACCAUGGAUUAUUUUUUAAGAGUUAAACAAUAAAAUUAUCAUAAGAUCGAGAAAAUUAUCUUUAUAUUGUAGGUCGAUUUGUAAAUGCUUAACUUAUUUAAAGAUUUGUUAAUUUUAAUAUAUCAUAUAAUUUACACAUUUAGAUAUUAUAUAUAUUUUUUUAAAAAUAAGGAAUUUGAUUAGUAACACAAAAUUAAAAAACGAUAAUUAAUAUCAAAAUAAAUAGAAGUGAUAAUAAGUAGUAGUACUAGUAGUAAGAGACUCCAAUACAAAAGAAAGAGAAAAAAAAAAAAAAAAACUAAAAGUAAUGCUUUUGAUGAUUAAAACAGUAAGCUCUGUACACGUAGUUACCAAUCAGAGCCCGUGUGUUAUUAAUAAUUGUAUUUCAAUACAUGUGCAAGUUGGGUCAAAGUGUUUUCUUUAAAAGAUUGAUAGAAAUGACUUGAGACAGAGAUAUUUUAGAGAAUAGUAUUUACCACUCAUUCUUUAUUCAUUAAUUAGACUUUCCUCAUUUAUUAUAUCAAAGUUUUUACUUUAAAUCUCAACCGACAAAAUGUUUGAUCAUUUUUGCACAGUUCAAACACUGCGAACGAUUUUUAGAAAGCUUCAAAACCAAACAGUGAACAUCGAAAGAACUUCUUGUACGGACGAAAACUGGAACUUUGUUGCCGGUUCAUCGCCCAACGCUGUAACCAGUAACAUCACCUGCGACUGUACUUUCAACGCCAGCUCAGUCUGUCGUGUCACAAACAUGUAUGUAAAAGACAGAAACGAUCAUCUAUGUAACUUUCAUAACAAGAAAUAUAGUUAGGGUUCUGAAAUUUCUUUCUUUUUUGUUUUCAUCAAUA